rnacentral:rRNA from 1 species
AUUGAACGCUGGCGGCAGGCCUAACACAUGCAAGUCGAGCGGAGCGGCGGACGGGUGAGUAAUGCCUAGGAAUCUGCCUGGUAGUGGGGGACAACGUCCGGAAACGGGCGCUAAUACCGCAUACUAUCAGAUGAGCCUAGGUCGGAUUAGCUAGUUGGUGGGGUAAAGGCCUACCAAGGCGACGAUCCGUAACUGGUCUGAGAGGAUGAUCAGUCACACUGGGACUGAGACACGGUCCAGACUCCUACGGGAGGCAGCAGUGGGGAAUAUUGGGCAAUGGUCGAAAGCCUGAUCCAGCCAUGCCGCGUGAGUGAAGAAGGUCUUCGGAUUGUAAAGCACGUUAAGUAGGGAGGCGUUACCUACAGAGUAAGCACCGGCUAACUUCGUGCCAGCAGCCGCGGUAAUAC